AGCGAACGCUAGCGGCGGGCUUAACACAUGCAAGUCGAGCGGAGGGGCAACCCUUAGCGGCGGACGGGUGAGUAACACGUAGGUAACGUAUCCUCUGGUGGGGAAUAACCGUGGGAAACCAUGGCUAAUACCGCAUAUCGUAUGAAAGUAUGAAAGCCUUCGGGCGCCAGUUGAGCGGCCUGCGGCCCAUUAGUUAGUUGGCGGGGUAACGGCCCACCAAGACGAUGAUGGGUAGCUGGUCUGAGAGGAUGAUCAGCCACACUGGAACUGAGACACGGUCCAGACUCCUACGGGAGGCAGCAGUGGGGAAUCUUGCGCAAUGGGCGAAAGCCUGACGCAGCCAUGCCGCGUGUGUGAAGAAGGCCUGCGGGUUGUAAAGCACUUUUGUUCGGGAAGAAAUCAUGCUGGUUAAUACCUGGUAUGGAUGACGGUACCGAAAGAAUAAGCACCGGCUAACUUCGUG
rnacentral:rRNA from 1 species